UGGUGCCCUUUCUUCCUUCGGGAAGAAAGGCCUCGGGCCAUGGUCCUCACAUUUUAGCUCGGAAUAGACUCACCCAAAUUUUCAUUUAUAGAUUGAUUAUGGGUUAUUUUCGUUGACACCCUAUUGAUAACACCCAUAUUAGUCCCUUUCCUGGCAUCAUGGUCAUGUUGACCUGCUAAUUUGCAACUGAAUACCUCUUUGGAAAUGUAUCCCGGGUGUGUUCAAUAUAUCUUUUGUUCUAAAACGAUGUAAGACUGUACUGAAACCCACCGCUUCUCCAGAACACCUUCUAAGGCCUUCCUGGGUUAUAAUCCUCACUCUGGCUCAUGAUAAACUCACCCCAAUUUUGAUUUAUAGGUUGGUUAUGGAUUAUUUGCAUCGACAAAGGUAAUACACAACUUCAGCAUUUCUGCUCUAUAAUAGACUUUAGAACCACUUUUAAUAUCUCUUUUUAAAUACCCCUUUGGAACCACUUUUAAUAAUUUGUUGCUUUUGGGGGUUACACUGAUGAUUCUCUUAAGUCAUUUUCCCAUUUUGUUUCUCUGAUAAUUCCAAGUUCUGCAUUGCUACCUGCUUGUCAAAUGAGUAUUGGCCACCCCAGUUCUGUGCAGAGAGGAUGCAAAACAGCAGAGUAUCUGUGGUGCAACUUUCUGGAGCAUCAAUUUUACUACAACGUUUGGAAGAAACAAAGUUAAGUAGUUUCCAAGUUACCAUCGGCUUCUCUGCUCCGUUCAAGCGGCCUCUCCUCACGUUCUCUCCUGAACCGAUUCCAUUCCUGCUUCCUCCACUGCACUUCGCUGAAGUGGCUUGUAGCCAGGUCUCCAAUGAUUUCCGUUUUGCUCAAUUCAAGGUUAAGUUCUUGUUCUUAUCUCACUCUUUCAGCUGCAUUCGACACAGAUGAUACAACUGAGCACUUCCUCCUUCCUGAAACACUUUCCUCUGGAUUUCCCAGCCCCCUCCCCCUCACGCUAUCUUCUUCCCCCUGCUCCUCCCCCACCAGAUCUAGUAAUCCUCACCCCCUUCUCUUUGCUCUGUGACCCCUCUUCUCAGAGAGAUCCCAUCCAGUCUCCCAGGUUUGAAUGCCAUCUGCUGGUCACCCCCAGGCCUGGGUUCUCUUCCCUGAGGGGAGCACCCAGGAGUCAUCCUUGGCUCUUCCCUUCUCACCCCACACGCAGUCUCACAGCAAGUCCUGUUGGCUCUGCCUGCAGCCUGCAUCCUGAUUGCAGCUUCUCGCUGUCUCCAUUUCUAGAACCCGGUUCAGCUGCCUUUCUCUCUUACUGGUCUCCUGCCAAGGACAGUCUCCUAACUGUCUCCCUGCUUCCUCUCUUGCCCUCCUCCAGCCAUUCUUCACUCAGCAUGCAGAGUGACCUCUUGAAAGCAUGAAGAGCAAGGAUAUGCACCACCCACCUCCCCAUUCAAACUCUGCCACUGCUUCUCAUUGUGAGAGAAUAAGAGCUUAGACAACCUGGCCCCUGCCUGCUCCUUCAGCCUCCUCUCCUACCUUCUUGUUGAGACUUACAUGUGAGAUGUUCUGGUAUCUAGAACUGAAAGCAAUCUUAACUCACAAAUAGAUAUCAGAUCAUCGAAUCUAGAGCAAAGGGCAUAGAAGGAAAAGUUGAAGGGAGAAUGAAAGGUGAGAAUUUUUUAAGCGCCAGAAACUAUGAACACAUAACAGAUCUGUAUGAAUAUGCUCAAAAGAAUGUGGUAACAAAGUUAAAAAAAAGUGUGUCAACAUACUUGCAAAGAAGUAGAAAUACUUUUGACCAUAAUUUGCAAACAAAAACUACACUUAGUACACAUUACGUUUCCGGACGUAAUGCAAUAAAAUUAGAAAUAACAGAAAUAGAGAACUUCAAAAUGUUCAGCUUUUUGGAAAUGUUAAAAUAUUGUUGUAAAUAAGUUAAUUCUUGUGUGAGGGUUCAUAUCCACAAAACAAUUACAGUGCCUGUACACACACGAGCUUGCUGAUGCAUCCAGAUGUGUGCAGUGGUGGGGAAAGGACGAGCUCUCUGACCCAGAAGCUCCUGGAACAACAGGGCCUCUGCACACACAAGCUUGCUGAUACAUCCAGAUGUGUGCAGUGGUAGGAAAGGAUGAGCUCUCUGACCCAGAAGCUCCUGGAGUGACAGUGCCUGUGAACACAUGAGCUCGCUGAUGCGUCCAGAUGUGUAUAGUGGUGGGAAAGGAGCUCUCUGUCCAGAAGCUCUUGGAGCGACAGUGCCUGUGCGCACACGUGCUUGCUGAUGCGUCCAGAUGUGUGCAGUGACGGGAAAGGAGCUCUCUGACCAGAAGCUCCUGGAAUGACAGGGUCAGUGCGCACACAAGCUUGCUGAUGCAUCCAGAUGUGUGCAGUGGUGGGAAGGACGAGCUCUCUGACCUAGAAGCUCCUGGAGUGACAGGGUGAUGUUCAUCGGAACCCCAGCAACCCCCUGUGUCAUUUACCAUAUUGUGACCAGUGGGAGCCAGGUGGAGGUGGCCGGGAACUGUAACUGUUACAGAUGCUGGUCAUAAACCCAAGGCCGCCUCCCUUGGUGCCUGCCCUUGACCCUGCCGUUGUUUCCUGCACUGGGGUUCCCGGAAGCCCCACCGCUGGACCUGUGCUGGUGGACAGGACCAGACUGCCCUCUGAUGGCAGCAGUUUGAAAACUGGCACCAGCAGCUGCCAUGGAAAAAAGUGAUGGCCCAGGAGACUGUGUGACCCUCCCACGGAGGGAUCAGGAUCCCAGCAGGGCUCCCGGGCAGGGCUCAGAGCCCGUCUGCUUCCUGCCCUUUCUCCUCUGCUGCUCUCCUCUGACUAUGGGAGUCGGGGAAGCAAACAGUCAUGAAAAAUGGCACUUCUAUUGGCUGUGUCUGUAUGUGGAAGUGCACAAAUGAAGGAAGAUUUUAAAGCAGAACACAGAACAAUUUGUGCUGUCUGAUUAAAAUCUGUCAGAUAUGUUCAUUAACAAGUUUGGAAGAGAAUUUGGAAAUGGCUGAAAUUUUUAAUAAAGUUCAUUCUUUUA